rnacentral:lncRNA from 1 species
CAUUUGUUUAUGCAUAAAUGAUUGUGGUUAUUGAGUUUCAGUGGGAAACAGCUGGAAUGUCCAGUAAAGGUGUGGCCAAGUGUCAGCCCUGCCUCAUGAUGUGAAGCAUCCUUUAGGCAAGGAGGAAGUCAUCCAUAAAGGUGCUAAGCUGCACCCCAACGGAUACAGGAUGGCGCAGGGAAGUGAGACUCUGGUGGCAAGAGGAGGCCCGUGCAGAUCCGUGGAGCCCUCAGCUGCUUCUCCGCAGGAGCUCAGGGGCUGGU